UACGGGGGGGGCAAGCGUUGUUCGGAUUCAUUGGGCGUAAAGGGUGCGUAGGUGGCGCCGUAAGUCGGGUGUGAAAUUUCGGAGCUUAACUCCGAAACUGCAUUCGAUACUGCGGUGCUUGAGGACUGGAGAGGAGACUGGAAUUCAUGGUGUAGCAGUGAAAUGCGUAGAGAUCAUGAGGAAGACCAGUGGCGGAGGCGGGUCUCUGGACAGUUCCUGACACUGAGGCACGAAGGCCAGGGGAGCAAACGGG
rnacentral:rRNA from 1 species